CAAAUUGCUUUCACGCGUCUGAUUUGCGUGAUAUGCACACACUAGUGUUACGUCACACAUACUGUUGUCACAUAGGCUUGGUCAAUGGUCAGAGGUGUUUAUUGGUCCUCAUUCAGUCAAGUACAAGUGUUUAAAUGGGAAACUUGUAAGUUCAUUUCCCGGGUUAACAAAUGGGUACAAGUUUAAGUAGCCGGAGGCUAUUUUGCAUAAAAUAUAUCCGAUCCGUCCUUUAGCUUACAUUACAACCCGUAAAGACCUAAUUGAUCUUAGACUUUACGAGCUUAGAUUAGUGGAAAUAUACACUACGGACAAGCCUAUGGUACAACUGCGGGAUGCACAUGAAUUUCUUUGUGAGAGUGAGUGGUUCUUUAUUCAUAUAUGUGAUGUCCUUAGAUUAUAUUCGAAUGCAUAUUUGAAUGUGUAGACAAAAUACCCUCUUGUUCUUUGGUGAGACACAUGAUUACAUGACAGAUAGGUGAUGUUAUUAAACAUCUCUUGUUGGGUGAGUGCACGAGUUGAGAGUGCUUAUUGGCGACGAGUCGGUCUUUGAGGUUGGGUGCUUAUGGGCAGGUUGUUUAAGUAUUUUUAAUUGGUCACUAAUAUUUCGGCAUGUGAAAAUUGGGAAAGGUAUGAAUGCGUAUGCAAGAGCUCAAUUGUUGGUAUCAACCAAGGUCAUAGGUGUAGUGUGUUGAAUUGCUAAAUAUUCCUCCAUUAUUUGAUGUCUUGCGUGCAUUGUUUGGGAAAAGAGUAUCUUAAUAAAUGUCACUGAGUUGUUUCCUUGAAUUGAAGAAUCUCCAUUGCUUCUAUUGUCCCCUCAAGUUGUCCAUUCUUUUCUUGUGUUCCUAAUUUCCUUUGGGUUUUGUAUAUUAUGUAGUUAACUUGGAGGUUGUAAAUGCUUUCAAACUUUUUUCAUUCUUUAAUGGUAUACAGUUCCAAAGGCUCCAAAUCGGAGAAGCAAUCAACAGAGGCGAAAGAAGCGAAGUUAAAGUAUAGAAGACAAUUGCGGGUUUGUAAUACUUGUGUGUGGCCUUCUGUUGUUAUAACAAUUAUUGAGAUAGGUGAUUGUUUCCAAAUAAAGAAUUCUCUGCUAAAGAUCCUUUUCAAACAACUGUUGAGAGAGAGAGACAAAAAAGGUAGAGCUGGAUGAAAUUUUCUUCAAGAUGGGUGUUGCUAUAAUGUGGCCUUCUCAGUAUGCGUUGGAUGAAAUGUUGCGUGAAGUAGUGCAGUGAAGCAGUUGCCUUGGCAUGGCUUCCGUCUUGAAGGACUUGGAGCUAAAGGGAGGGUACCCUUGUGUGUGAGAGAGACAUAAUUUAUAUCGAGAGAUUCUAGUAGGUCAUUAAUCCAUUGCAAUAGUUCAUGAUAGAAUAAUGAAGAAGUGUUUUACUAGCAAAGAUUAAAUUUCUUAUAUAAAUAUUACUCCAUAACAUAAAUAAUUUGUCAUAUUUUAAUUAUUUAUAUAACCGCUCGUCGCGCGGAAAAAUUUACUAGUUGGUUUCUAAUUUAGACUAGAAUUGAGAUUCUUGCUUCUUGUUUCACCAUCAGUAACGACCAACUGUAAGUUGAUGAUACAGGACACCAAAGAAACUAUCGAUACCGAUACCACAAGCCUAUGAAUAACAUUUCUAAGACAAGAGAGUAAACAAGAUAA